GAUGAACGCUAGCGGCAGGCCUAACACAUGCAAGUCGAGGGGCAGCACAUAAAGUGGUUUACUACUUUUGGUGGCGACCGGCGGACGGGUGCGUAACGCGUAUGCAACCUGCCUCCAACAGGGGGAUAACGGAGAGAAAUUUCCACUAAUACCCCAUAAUAUCAGAAUCGGCAUCGGUUUUGGUUGAAAACUCCGGUGGUUGGAGAUGGGCAUGCGUUGUAUUAGAUAGUUGGUGAGGUAAAGGCUCACCAAGUCAACGAUACAUAGGGGGACUGAGAGGUUAGCCCCCCACACUGGUACUGAGACACGGACCAGACUCCUACGGGAGGCAGCAGUGAGGAAUAUUGGUUAAUGGGGGCAACCCUGAACCAGCCAUGCCGCGUGCAGGAAGACGGCUCUAUGAGUUGUAAACUGCUUUUACAAGGGGAUAAAUCGGUGUACGUGUACACCGUUGAAGGUACCUUGGGAAUAAGGAUCGGCUAACUCCGUGCCAGCAGCCGCAGUAA
rnacentral:rRNA from 1 species